rnacentral:lncRNA from 10 species
UCUCCCCCUGCGCUCCCUUCUUCCACAUGGAGGACGACGUGGUCUUGCAUACGCUGCAGUUGAAUUCAGAGCAUGCCGUUUAUGGACAUCGACAAAGGGUUCAGAAAAUGCCAUCCACUGACAUCUAUGUAUUAGAAAUUGAAAUUGAGACAUUUUACAGCCUAAGAUGUCAAGCGCACAUUCUUCAGCCGUUGGAUAAUAUCGUUGCAAAUCCUGUGGACUCUGAAGAGUAUACCGAUUAGAGAAUGCGGAGAAAAUCGAAUAGCUGGCUGUUAUUCAAUUCAAAACUGUUGGAAAACAGUUUUGGCUCUGAGGACCCAGCAGUUGACAAACAGCAGGCCUGGGACAAGAGCAGUAUGAGAAGUCAGAUCGCCUCUUUUAAUGUCACUAGUCAGUACAGGCCUCGCCAGACAAGUCUCUCCUCAGCCUCACUUGGAAGAACAUGCCCUCUCUUCAUGAUCCUGGGUUUCCUAGACUUAUUUCCAGGACUGUUAUGGGGAUUAGGGCCAACUGUAAAAGUGGCUGAGGAGACUAGGUAAAGAGUGUUGUCUCACUUUAGAACAAUGCUGAAGGUGUUUAGAGCCUGCCAUCCUAAAAUAUGCCACUUUGGCAUACUGAUUCUUCUGAGCCAGAGGCAAUGGAGCAAAAACAGAUGCAGGGAAGGCUGUCUGACCACCCUCUUUCUGUUUGAAGCGGAACAUAAAAGUUCCCUUGUGAAAGGUGCCCUUUCUGUACCAGGAAGAGGAGAAUAUUAUUGCCAGAGGCAGAGUUGCCACUGAGAAGAAUCUACAAACAAAACCUUACAAAAAUUUGUAACCCAUAUUUUCCAUUAACUUUCUACAUACGGUUCUUCGUCACUUUCCCACAAUUUGCCAGCCUUAGCCCAAGCCCCUUUGUCUUGUCACAUCCCUGCAAUUUAUUAUUUUUUGUUUAAAAGGACAUAUAAGCUUUCGGGCCUAGUAACUUCUAUGGGUCUUUAUUUUUCUUACAAAGCCUCCUGUGCAUGUACAAAAAUAUUAAAACUUUUAUGCCUUUUCCAGUAAAUCUGUCUUAUGUUAGUGUAAUUCCCAUGCCCAGCUACAGAACCAAAGAGGUGAGAAGAGGCCAGGCGUAGUGGCUCAUGCCUGUAAUCCCAACACUUUGGGAGGCUGAGGCAGGUGGAUCACCUGAGGUCAGGAGUUCAAGACCAGCCUGGCCAACAUAGCGAAACCCCAUCUCUACUAAAAUUACAAAAAAUUAGCUGUGUGUAGUGGCAGGCACCUGUAAUCCCAGCUACUCGGGAGGCUGAGGCGGGAGAAUUGCUUGAACCUGGGAGGCAGAGGUUGCAGCCUGGGCGACAGAGCGAGAGACUCCAUCAAAAAAAAAAAAAAAAAAGGUGAGGAGGAAGUUUCUCCUCACCUACAGUGUGAGGAAAUCUAGGCACUUGAUUUCCAUGCUCCUGAAUGUCUCUCCAUUUGGGAACAUAUACCUCUCCUUGCAACUCAUCUGCAAGUGACUCCCUCUCAUUCACUGAAAACUUUGGCCCAUAACUCACCAGCUUCCUCUCCACUACAAGACACUGCCAUGGAUCAGGUCAAUAUCCACAUGUACAGUUGUCCCUCAGUAUCCAUGGAGGAUUGAUUCCAGGACUCCCGAUGAUACCAAAAUCCACAAUCCAUAAAUGCUCAAGUCCCUUAUAUAAAAUGGCAUAGAAUUUGCAUAUAACCUAUGCGCACCCUCCUGUGUGCUUUAAAUCAUCUCUAG